rnacentral:lncRNA from 1 species
CUGAUAUUUGAGUUGUUUCUGACCUUUUGCAGUAUUUUUUCCAAGACUUGAUAGUUCUGAAAUUUGGCUAUGAUGUUCCUUGGAGUUUUUAUUUAGGGGUGAUGAGUAAACUUUUUUCAAUGCCUAAUUUGCCCUCAGAUUCUUGAUAAUUUCUUGAAAGAUGCUGCCCAGGUCCACCUUUUGAUUAUAGCUUUCAAAUAGUCCAAAGACUCUGGAGUUCUCUCUCCUAUUUUUGUAUCUCCUUUUCCAUUUUGUCAUUUCUGCUUUUUAAAGUUGUUUUCUUUUUCCAAACUGUUGACUUUUUCAUAAUUCUCUUAUAUGACUCAUUUCUUUUCCCAAUUUUUCUUGUUAUAAGAUUUUCAAGCUCGUUUUUGAGCUCCUCAAUGAAUUCUUUCUGAGCUUGAGACCACUUUUCAUUUACUUGGGGGGGGUUAUUCUAGGAGUUUUGAUGCUGUUGUCCUCUUUUGAAUUUGUGUCUUGGUCUUCCUUGUUACCAUAAAAUAUUUCUACGGUAAGCUUAUAUUUUUGUUGUUUUGAGGCCAAAAGCCAUAAGGGUCUGGCAGCUUACUUGAUGCUGAACCGAAGUCCUAGUGCUAGUGUCUGAUGUGUGCUGAAGUUGGUGGAGUUAUUCUGCAUUUUCCCAGGGCUACACUGAAGCAUGUGGUAAUCUGGGCCUCUGGAAAUGAGUGCCCACCCAGAGCUAUACUGAAGCUCCUGGAGCUGUACUCUGCCAGCUCCUCCAGCUAUGCCAAAACACAUGGGGAUCCUGGUGCUGAUGUUCACCUGCUUCACCACACCGAGGUUCAGGAUCUCCUGCUGGUUUGCCAAGGUGGGGCUUGCUGCCAUUUGGCUGGGAAGCUUCCCCAACUGGGUACUGAAUGAGACAGACCCCUCCUGCCGAUCUUCCAAGUUUCCUGGACUAACAAAUUGCUUCACCCAUCUCAUUGCUGGCUACGUCGCUCCAGGACCUUUUUGCAAUGUUAUUUUAUGGUUGCCUGCAGAUGAC